rnacentral:lncRNA from 1 species
CUUUUUCUUAUAUCCAACUUGAACCUCCUCUGGUGUAACUCGAGGGCAUUACUUCUCAUCCUAAGUGACAUUAAUUCAUAGCAACUUUCGAAUAAGGGGUCCUGUAGGAGAUGAAGAGAAAGGAAGGCUGAGACAAAACCUACAUCAUCCGGCCACAUCUGCAUUGGACCCAAGGCUGGGUGAACCACAUCUGUAUGGCUUCAGGCUGAAAACUGAAGACACUUAAAAGGUCUUAACCAAGUGAGCCCACUAAACUGAUUUUGAGUUCAGGUGGAUGAGAGCUCAGACCUGUUCCAGUGUACCAGCAGCUCGAGCAGGUUACAAAACAUUGGUGCCUUUAAAUGUGGAUUUUAAUGGCUUUUAACUUCCUCCUCAACCAGGCAAUGAUUGCCAUGAGUGGAAAGACAUCCCUGUGGAGAUUACUGAGAUGUGUUUGGAGCACGCCUUCAUGCCCAUGCAGUUUCGACAGAGCCUAUCACCAUGCAUGGGCUGAGGGAUGCAGUGAGGAGCUCUGGGCUACGACCAGCCGGGCUUUUCUUAGAUGAAACAAGCAUCCAACACCAGGCAGGCAAACCCAGCUCCAUCCAAAAAAACCCAGCACUGCAUGGAACAAGGUGGUGGAUGUGCAGGCAGCAGGAUUACCAGCGUCAUCCUGCCAGCUGGGGCUGCAAGGAGCGUGUGCCAGGAAGGAGGCCAAGGUUUCACAUUCCCUUAUGUCUAAAAGGUCUGUGGGGCAUUUGGGUGAAGCACUGAAAACUGAAAAUAUAAAAAAAAAUGGUAUAAAGCUUGAAUAAGAUGUUCAGAUUCAAGGUCUGUGUUUGCAUUUGAGGUGAAUAAAUAGUGGUACUUUGUAGUGAGCGGUAUCCACCGUCACCUCUGGUUGAUGGUACUUCCAUGUGAGGGUUCCCACCAAUGGACAAGCGCAAGUGUACAUUGCACAACAGAUAGC